AGUCCAGCUGUGACACACAGGAAGUGACAUCGUCGGAACAAAAUGGAGGGAAAACAAAAGAGGCGAUCGAUAGAUCUGAUGGAUGAGGAUGCUGGCCUUUGACAGCUGCAUGGAGAAUAAACUCCAGGGGAUUAGUGCUUCACCUUCCCCUGCGGAGAGCAGCAUGAGUGGCCUGAUGAGAUUCACAUGGCUUUCUGUCUCUGGAGAUCUCACAACCCUUCCAUCAUUUGAAGCAACACCUGCCCUCAGCCGGACGUCUGGACCCUGUUACUGACCCUCACUGUUAAAGCUGAUGUGUUGAGGACACGCUGACCUCCAGCUAUUUUCCAGCUCACAGGAGCAUAACGGUGGUCAGGAGGGAGUGAAAUCACAGGCCGUGUGAUGGGAUCCGGUUUAAGAGCUUUACAAGACACUGCGGCUGACGUGCCGGCCAGAUGUUCACACGCGCACUGGGACAAAACAAGGAUAUCUCUCCAUGCACACACACGCUCUCGGGGACGAUAAGUGGGGCUGGCAGGCCUGGUCAACACCAGAGGGCUUGAGUUGACUCUUGGCUCUCAUAAAUCGUGAGUCGUUGAAGCGUUGCAGCAUUAAUCUUUUUUGCAUGAUGUGAUAAUGAGUCUAUCGCUCACGGGAAGAUGCUUUUAAACGCAGAGGGUUGCCAUAAUGAACGCACACAAUAUACACAUCCACAUUUAGGUUGUACUGUGUCUAAAAAUCUGCACAAAAUUAAAUGUUCAAUUUACACUGCACUUGCUAAUCUUUUAAAUGAUUACCUUUAUCAUAUUUAUAGAAGGAAUAGCCUAAAUCAACUUUUGCACAAGACUAAUAUGAAAUGAUUUCUGGGUGAACCUCACAAAAACAUGCCUAGGUUAUAUUCCACCCCUAAAAUCAAAAGACAAACAAGUUUUGCAUAUAUUGUUAGUAAUUUU